UUUGGUGGAGGCACCAAACUCAUCGUUGACUUGGGAGUGGUGCAGCCCACGCUGAGCGUCCUCCCUCCCUCCAGAGUGGAGCUGGAGCAGGGCAGUGCUACACUAGUGUGUGUGGCCAGUGGGGGCUUCCCCUCAGACUGGAAGCUUGGCUGGAAGGUGGGGGGCAGCAGCAGGUCUGGGGGGGUGUCCGAUAGCCUGGUGGUCCUGGGGAAAGAUGGCCACUACAGCUGGAGCAGCACCUUGACCCUCCCUGCAGACCAGUGGAGGAAGGCGGGCUCAGUGAGCUGUGAGGCCAGUAAGAAUGGCCAGACGCAGCCUGUCACUCAAACCCUGAAUCCUGGAGAGUGUUCAGAGUAG